AGACCCGAAACCCGGUGAUCUAGCCAUGGGCAGGUUGAAGGUUGGGUAACACUAACUGGAGGACCGAACCGACUAAUGUUGAAAAAUUAGCGGAUGACCUGUGGCUGGGGGUGAAAGGCCAAUCAAACCGGGAGAUAGCUGGUUCUCCCCGAAAGCUAUUUAGGUAGCGCCUCGUGAAUUCAUCUCCGGGGGUAGAGCACUGUUUCGGCUAGGGGGCCAUCCCGGCUUACCAACCCGAUGCAAACUGCGAAUACCGGAGAAUGUUAUCACGGGAGACACACGGCGGGUGCUAACGUCCGUCGUGAAGAGGGAAACAACCCAGACCGCCAGCUAAGGUCCCAAAGUCAUGGUUAAGUGGGAAACGAUGUGGGAAGGCCCAGACAGCCAGGAUGUUGGCUUAGAAGCAGCCAUCAUUUAAAGAAAGCGUAAUAGCUCACUGGUCGAGUCGGCCUGCGCGGAAGAUGUAACGGGGCUAAACCAUGCACCGAAGCUGCGGCAGCGAACGUAUCACUUAAAGCGAUUCAGCGGGUUACGACUGACGGAGCGAAGCGACGUCAAAGCGUAUACAAAGUCGAGUCGGUUUAAGGAUACGUUCGUUGGGUAGGGGAGCGUUCUGUAAGCCUGCGAAGGUGGCCUGUGAGGGUUGCUGGAGGUAUCAGAAGUGCGAAUGCUGACAUAAGUAACGAUAAAGCGGGUGAAAAGCCCGCUCGCCGGAAGACCAAGGGUUCCUGUCCAACGUUAAUCGGGGCAGGGUGAGUCGACCCCUAAGGCGAGGCCGAAAGGCGUAGUCGAUGGGAAACGGGUUAAUAUUCCCGUACUUGGUGUUACUGCGAAGGGGGGACGGAGAAGGCUAUGUUGGCCGGGCGACGGUUGUCCCGGUUUAAGCGGGUAGGUGUGUGUUCCAGGUAAAUCCGGUUCACU
rnacentral:rRNA from 1 species